rnacentral:lncRNA from 1 species
CCAGAGAGUCGAAUACCCUCCCGAGUGUGCAUGCGAGGGGCGUAUACGGGUGACAGCGGAGUCGAAUACAGCAGGUGUGAUGAGAGAGAGAGAGCCGAGAGAGUCGAAUACAGCAGGUGUGAUAGAGAGAGAGAGAGAGUCGAAUACAGCAGGUGUGAUAGAGAGAGAGAGAGAGUCGAAUACAGCAGGUGUGAUAGAGAGAGAGAGAGUCGAUACAGCAGUGUGAUAGAGAGAGAGAGAGAGAGGUCAAAAUACAGCAGGGUGUGAUAGAGAGAGAGAGAGAGAGAGUCGAAUAACAGCAGGUGGUGAUAGAGAGAGAGCCAGAGAGUCGAAU